rnacentral:rRNA from 1 species
UUUUAACGAGAGUUUGAUCCUGGCUCAGAAUCAACGCUGGCGGCGUGCCUCAGACAUGCAAGUCGAACGAUUAAACUUUCCUUCGGGAAAGAUAUAAAGUGGCGCACGGGUGAGUAACACGUAAGUAAUCUACCUUCGGAUGGGGAAUAACAUCGGGAAACCGAUGCUAAUACCGCAUAAUGCAGCGGCAUCAUAAGAUGACAGUUGUUAAAGUAUUUAUACGUCUGGAGAGGAGCUUGCGGCAGAUUAGCUAGUUGGU